GGAGGAGAUUUCAGUGUUCCAACAACCACAGUAGCACUAACUGUUCAUGUUGUUGGAAGUACGACAGCAGAGAUCAUGCAGUGUGUAAUUUAAGGGUUAAUUCUGUCAAACUUAUGUCACCUAGCCAAGAAGGGAGACGGGUGGAAGUGUUGCUUGGCAACCAGUCAGGGUGGCCUGAUCCUCACCAAGGUAGUAUACACUCUGAUUGGCCGUGUAGUUCGGAGGGAGUCUUUCUCUGUAUGUUUCCUUGAAUCUCACCCUGCUAUAUACAAGGCCUGAAGUGAAAAAAAGACCAAACCUCUCUGUUUAUUUUUCCUUAUUUUUCUUUAGUUUUUUUUUUCUCAGUAAGGUAUUAUCCUCAUUUCUUUUCUCACUGGACUCCAUCGGCUACUUAGGUGACUUUGCUAACACAUGCAAGUAUAGCAUCAUUUGCAGAUGCUGGGCCAAGACGGUAGGCGUAAUCCCACUGCCCACUCUGUAUGAUCCUAAUCCACAGAUAUGGUGGCACGAGAAACAUUCAUGACUCAGACUGGACAGGUGAGUCAGUGGCUUCAACUGGUACUUGCGAUACUGUUGCUUUGCCUUGACUGACGAAUUUAUUUAUUUAUUUAUGGGGGGGAGGGAAGAUGGAGAAAGCCCUAAUGAGCCACCCUACCUUUUAGUCCCAGCAAAUGUCUUAAGAAAUCAUGCAGGUAUAUUUCAGAGUCCUUGCCUUGAGCAAGUAGAAUAGUGGAGCUUGCAAUUCAAGUAUUUCCUGAUGUGUGCAAAUGAUUGCGUCAUUAUCUCUCACAUUGAUUAAUCCAGAGUAACUCUCACCCUUAGUCAGUGGUUCAGUGCAGAGACAGGGAAACCUCAGGCCUGUGGAGAGGGACAGGCGAAUGUGGCCCUCUAGGCCUCUCUGUUUGGCCCUCAAAAUCCUUCCUAGGCCAAAACCCCUUACCUCAGGCCACACCCCCUCACGGCUUUGCAUCCUCCUUGAGUGUUUUUGUCUGGCUGGAAUGUGACCUUGAUCCUGCUUUUUGCUGGGUGGAGGGCAGAAUCAUAGACUUAAAGAGUAGGAAGGGACCCCCGCAGAGAUGUGUGUAGGGGUGCCAACUUGAAUAAAAUAUCGAGGGAGCCCAGGUAAGCCCCAUCCCACAUAACGCAUCACAUGAUGCGGUGCACACACACUAUUUGAAUGGCAUUGCCCAUCAACUUUGAGGGGCCUUGGCCCCCUCAAAUAAUUUUUUUUGGGGGGCUGAAUGCCCUUGGCCACUAGGAAUUGGGUUCUCUCUCUCUCUCUCUCUCUCUCUCUCUCUCUCUCUCUGUGUGUGUGUGUGAGAGAGAGUUGUAUGAAGAAAGUAGCUCCAAAAACGAGCUGCGUGUUGGACCACCCAGUCUUAGCCUAACCUACCCCACAGGGUUGUUGUGAGGGUAAGAUGUGAAGGGAGAGAAUUAUGUUUGCCCCCUUGAACUCCUUGGAGGAAAAGUGGGAUAUAAGUGAAUAGUUUACUUUACAUCUCUCUCCUCACUCCAGGCUGAGACUUCUGGGUUCCUCCAACAGAAAAGGCCCACACAGACAGUGUCUCUCAUGAAUCAAGGGGGAUUCCCUGCCCUUCCCUGCAGAAACACACACAAUUUUUAAAUCAAGGGGGUGGCCCUGAGAAAACCACUCUGAGUCAGCCUGUCUCCGCUAGGAUUUGGAAGGUUUAUCUGCUCCUUUUAGGCAAAAGACCAAGGUAUUUUGAGCCUAGCUUCAAAGAACUCUUUUGUAUUCAAAGUUUCUGGUCCGUAUGGUGAGUGGGAUUAAAACUGAAUUCCCCAUCCCUUUUAGAAUUACUGCGUUUCGCUCAUAUGCCAAUUUAGGUCUAUUUUAAGUCCAAUUGAUUAUGAAAAUGGAUAGAUUAAUCAAUCAAGCUGUUCUUAAUAAGAUGACAGCCCUAGCUUUUGCAGACUGGCUAGAAAGGUCCUCUCAGGGUAUAGACCCUCCAAGUGUCCCUAUUUUCUAGGGACAGUCCUGGAAGACAUCCUGGUUUCUGAUUUGAUCCCAUAAUGCCCCGCUUUUCCUUAGGACAUCCCUAUUUUCAUCAGAGAAAUGUUGGAGGGUAUGAGAGCAGGUAAGCAAGCCUCUGUUUAGGGCAACAGAGAAGCCAGAAGAUGUAUAGCGGCUGGUGCUGUCAAGAUGUUCAGGACCACAACUCCCAGCUGCAUGGCUCAGCUCCUGUUAUGUACUGAGUUGAAUAGGAUCCAAACUGCAGCAGUCUGAUUGGUCCUAGAACAAUAGGAUCCAAAAUGCAGCAGUCUGAUUGGUCCUAGAACAAUACAGCAGUAUGAUUGGUUGCCAGGAACCACCCAAUCAUGCUCCAGAUAGAAGUGAAUCCACAACCUGAUUGGCUUACAGUAGAAUUCCGGAAUUAGCCAAUCAUGUGCAGCCCAUUGUGUAAAUAAUGUAUAUAAAGCAGAUACUUUGAGGGGACCUUCAUUCAUUCCUCCUCACCACUAUGAGCUGAAUAAAGAGCAUGAAAUCAUUUGCGACUCUGAGUAUAUUUCAGCUUCCAUCAUCCUUUGCUGUGCAGGCUGAAGCUGACAGGAGUUGUGGUUCAUCUGGAGGGGACCAGGUUGGGGAAGGUGGAUGUAGAGGGCCUUGUGUUGGUUUCUCCUGGUGGCUGAUGUUGAGUCACUCAGGUAUGAUGGAAGGAGGUUUCCUUGAGUGAGUCAACAACCACGAGCCAGCUCUGAUCGGAAAAAGCAACGGGGAAAUAAUGAAGGGGACAGAGACACGAUCCCUGUUACACUAUGUGCCAGGUGGAUUCUAGGUCAGGCCAGCCCACAAGUGGGCCAAGGACAUCCAAUUGACACACACUCAUCCAUCCUCUGUUUCCACAGCAGUUCACAACAUAUCAAAUCCGUGAUGGAAAAUAUAAGUCACUUUGAGCUUGGAAGGCUAAGAGCAUCGCUCUUGCUCAUGUGCUUUGGAAAGGUCAUAAGAAUGCUAGAUUAGAUGGGGCAGUGGCCUGACUCCGUGGAAUGCAGCUUCAAAUGAUAACCCAGGUGUACAGCCACAGAAUUUGUAAUAAUGGGGAAACCGUAUUGUUGCUUUUCUAGGGUUGCCCCAGUUGCCUCUGUUGUGAUAAGGGAAUGGCCCAGUGUAUUUUCCAGAUAAUUUAGAAGGACGGAAUAUUUUCUACACUAGUAUGGGCCUAGGAGGGACGCGGGUGGUGCUGUGGAUUAAACCACAGAGCCUAGGAUUUGCUGAUCAGAAGAUUGGCAGUUCGAAUCCCCA